rnacentral:rRNA from 1 species
GACGAACGCUGGCGGCGUGCUUAACACAUGCAAGUCGAGCGGUAAGGCCCUUUCGGGGUACGACGAGCGGCGAACGGUGAGUAACACGUGGUGACCUGCCCUUAGCUCUGGGAUAAGCCUGGGAAACUGGGUCUAAUACCGGAUAUGACUCCAUGACGCAUGUUGUGGGGUGGAAAGCCUUGUGCGGCUAGGGAUGGGCCCGCGGCCUAUCAGCUUGUUGGNGGGGUGAUGGCCACCAAGGCGACGACGGGUAGCCGGCCUGAGAGGGCGACCGGCCACACUGGGACUGAGACACGGCCCAGACUCCUACGGGAGGCAGCAGUGGGAAUCUUGCGCAAUGGCGAAAGCCUGACGCAGCGACG